rnacentral:rRNA from 1 species
CCUGGUUGAUCCUGCCAGUAGGCAUUGUUGUCUGCCAAAGAUUAGCGCAUGCAAGUCUAAGUACACACGGCCGUACAAGUGAAAACUGCGAAUGGCUCAUUAAAUCAGUUAUGGUUCCUUUGAUCGCUCCAAACGUUACUUGUAACUGUGGCAAUUCUAGAGCUAAUACAUGCCAACGAGGCUGACCUCCGGGGGAUGCGUGCAUUUUCUAAAGACAAAACCCAUGCGGGCCAAUCUCGGUUGACCGCGCUUUGGUGACUCUAGAUAACCCGAAGCGAAUCGCGCGCCCUUGUGGGCGGUGACGUCUCAAUUCGAAUGUCUGCCCUAUGCAACUUUCGAGUGGUACUUUCUGUGCCUACCAUGGUGACCGUACGGGUAACGGGGAAUCAGUGGUUUCGAUUCGGAGAGGGAGCCUGAGAAACGGCUACCACAUCCAAGGAAGGCAGCAGGCGCGCAAAUUACUCCCACUCCGACUCGGGGAGGUAGUUGGACGAAAAUAACAAUAAGGACUCUUCGAGGCCCUGUAAUUGGAAUGAGUACACUUUAAAUCCUUUAACGAGGAUCCAUGGAGGGCAAGUUCUGGUGCCAGCAGCCGGGUAAAUUCCAGCUCCAAAUUAGCGUAUUCUUUAAAAGUUGCUGCAGUUAAAAAGCUGCGUAGUUGGACCUCGGGAAUCGAGCUGGCGGUCGCCGCGAGCGAGCUACCGCCUGUCCAGCCCCUGCCUUCGGCGCCCCCUCGAUUGCUCUUAAACUGAGUGUCCGCGGGGUCGAAGCCGUUUACUUGAAAAAAUUAGAGUGUCAAAGCAGGCCCGGUCGCUCUGAAUACCGCAGCUAGGAAUAGAUGGAAUAGGACUCCGGUUCUAUUUUGUGGGUUUUUUCUUCUGAACUGGGGCCAUGAUUAAGAGGGACGGCCGGGGGCAAUUCGUAUUGUGCCGCUAGCGGUGAAAUUCUUUGACCGCUGCGCAAGACGAACGAAAGGCGAAAGCCAUUUGCCAAGAAUGUUUUCCAUUAAUCAAGAACGAAAGUCGGGAGGUUCGAAGACGAUCAGAUACCGUCGUAGUUCCGACCAUAAACGAUGCCAACUAGCGAUCCGGCGGCGUAUUCAAUGACCCGCCGGCAGCGUCCGGGAAAUCCAAAGUCUUUGGGUUCCCGGGGGGAGUAUGGUUGCAAAAGCUAGAAACUUAAGAAUUGACGGAAGGGCACCACCAGGAGUGGAGCUGCGGCUUAAUUUGACUCAACACGGGAAACCGCUCACCCGGUCCCGGACAGACGGAAAAAGGAUUGACAGAUUGAUUAGCUCUUUCUCGAUUCUGUGGGUGGUGGUGCUGCCGUUCUUAGUUUGGUGGAGCGAUUUGUCUGGUUAAUUUCGAUAACGAACCAGACUCCCGGCAUGCUGAACUAGUUAUGCGGCCACCGAGCGGUGGUGGUCCAACUUCUUAGAGGACAAAGUGGCGUUCAGCACACGAGAUUUGAGCAAUAACAGGUAUCCUGUGAUGCCCUUAGGAUGUCGGGGCUGCACGCGCGCCACAACUGAAGCGGAUCAGCGUGUGUCUACCCUCGCCGAGAAUGGCGUGGGAACCCGAUGAACCCCACUCUGAUAGGAUUGGGGAUUGCAAUUAUUUUCCCAUGAACGAGGAAUUCCACCAGAGCGCGGGUCAUAAGCUCGCGUUGAUUAGUCCUGCCCUUUGUACACACCCGCCGUCCUACUACCAGAUUGGAUGGUUUAGUGAGGUCCUCGGAUCGGCGCCUGCGAGGUCGGUCACGGCCUGGUGGAGGCGCCGAGAAGACGAUCAUAACUUGACUACUAGAGGAAGUAAAAGUCGUAAAAAGGUUCCGUAGGUGAAACCUUGCGGAAG